rnacentral:rRNA from 1 species
UACGUAGGCAGCGAGCGUUGUUCGGAGUUACUGGGCGUAAAGGGUGUGUAGGCGGUUUUCUAAGUUUGGUGUGAAAUCUCCCGGCUCAACCGGGAGGGUGCGCCGAAAACUGGGAGACUAGAGUGCGGGAUGGGAGAGUAGAAUUCCUGGUGUAGCGGUGAAAUGCGUAGAUAUCAGGAGGAAUGCGGGUGGUGUAGACGGCUCUCUGGACCGCCACUGACGCUGAGACACGAAAGCGUGGGUAGCAAACAGG